UACAGAGGGUGCAAGCGUUAAUCGGAAUUACUGGGCGUAAAGCGUGCGCAGGCGGUUAUGUAAGACAGUUGUGAAAUCCCCGGGCUCAACCUGGGAACUGCAUCUGUGACUGCAUAGCUAGAGUACGGUAGAGGGGGAUGGAAUUCCGCGUGUAGCAGUGAAAUGCGUAGAUAUGCGGAGGAACACCGAUGGCGAAGGCAAUCCCCCGGACCUGUACUGACGCUCAUGCACGAAAGCGUGGGGAGCAAACAGG
rnacentral:rRNA from 1 species